AUUGAACGCUGGCGGCAUGCCUUACACAUGCAAGUCGAACGGUAACAGGUCUUCGGAUGCUGACGAGUGGCGAACGGGUGAGUAAUACAUUUGAACGUGCCUAGUAGUGGGGGAUAACUACUCGAAAGAGUGGCUAAUACCGCAUGAGAUCUACGGAGGAAAGCAGGGGAUCGCAAGACCUUGUGCUACUAGAGCGGCCGAUGGCAGAUUAGGUAGUUGGUGGGAUAAAAGCUUACCAAGCCGACGAUCUGUAGCUGGUCUGAGAGGACGAUCAGCCACACUGGGACUGAGACACGGCCCAGACUCCUACGGGAGGCAGCAGUGGGGAAUUUUGGACAAUGGGCGAAAGCCUGAUCCAGCAAUGCCGCGUGCAGGAUGAAGGCCUUCGGGUUGUAAACUGCUUUUGUACGGAACGAAAAGCCCCGGGUUAAUACCCUGGGGUCAUGACGGUACCGUAAGAAUAAGCACCGGCUAACUACGUGCCAGCCGCCGCCGUAA
rnacentral:rRNA from 1 species